GAUGAACGCUGGCGGCGUGCCUAAUACAUGCAAGUCGAGCGAACGGACGAGAAGCUUGCUUCUCUGAUGUUAGCGGCGGACGGGUGAGUAACACGUGGAUAACCUACCUAUAAGACUGGGAUAACUUCGGGAAACCGGAGCUAAUGCCGGAUAAUAUUUUGAACCGCAUGGUUCAAUAGUGAAAGACGGUCUUGCUGUCACUUAUAGAUGGAUCCGCGCUGCAUUAGCUAGUUGGUAAGGUAACGGCUUACCAAGGCAACGAUGCAUAGCCGACCUGAGAGGGUGAUCGGCCACACUGGAACUGAGACACGGUCCAGACUCCUACGGGAGGCAGCAGUAGGGAAUCUUCCGCAAUGGGCGAAAGCCUGACGGAGCAACGCCGCGUGAGUGAUGAAGGUCUUCGGAUCGUAAAACUCUGUUAUUAGGGAAGAACAUAUGUGUAAGUAACUGUGCACGUCUUGACGGUACCUAAUCAGAAAGCCACGGCUAACUACGUG
rnacentral:rRNA from 1 species